GUUUUGGGGGUCAGUUUUGGGGUUUUUGGGGUCGGUUUUGGGGUUCUGGUUUUUGGGGUCGGUUUUGGGGUCAGUUUUGGGUUUGGGGGUCAGUUUUAGGGUCAGUUUUGGGGUCAGUUUUGGGGUUUUUAGGGUGGUUUGGGGGUCAGUUUGGGUUUUUUUUGGGGUGUUUUUGGGUUUUGGGGUUGGUUUGGGGGUUUUUGGGUUUUGGGGUCAGUUUUGGGUUUUGGGGUCAGUUUUGGGGUCAGUUUUGGGGUCGGUUUUGGUGUUUUAGGGUCAGUUUUGGGCUCAGUUUGGGGGUUUUUUUGGGGGUGUUUUUGGGUUUUGGGGUCGGUUUUGGUGUUUUAGGGUCAGUUUUGGGCUCAGUUUGGGGGUUUUUGGGGUGGUUUUGGGGUUUUUGGGGUCGGUUUUGGGUUUUGGGGUCAGUUUUGGGGUCAGUUUUGGGUUUUGGGGUCAGUUUUGGGGUUCUGGUUUUUGGGGUCGGUUUUGGGGUCAUUUGGGGGGUUUUUGGGGCCUCACCGCCAGCAGCUGGUUCUCGGUGAGGUUCCAGAAGCUCUUCCAGAAGCCGACCUCCAGGUUUUGGGUCAGGCGCUCGAAUUCGGCCCCGCGCAGCUCCGGGUCCAGGGCGUAGCGGCCCCCCGAGAACAGCGAGCCCGCCGCCGCGCCUGCCCCAUAGCGACCCACAAGUGACCCACAAGUGACCCAUAGCGACCCACAAGUGACCCACAAGUGACCCAUAACUAACCCAUAAGUGACCCAUAAGUGACUCACAGUGACCCACAAGUGACCCACAACUGACCCAUAGCGCCCCAUAAGUGACCCAGAACUGACCCAGAACUGACCCACAAGUGACCCAUAAGUGACCCACAAGUGACCCAUAAGUGACCCAUAAGUGACUCAUAAGUGACCCAUAGCGCCCCAUAACUAACCCAGAACUGACCCAUAAGUGACCCACAAGUGACCCAUAAGUGACCCAUAACUAACCCAGAACUGACCCACAACUGACCCAUAAGUGACCCAUAGCGACCCAUAAGUAAGGGACCCAGAAGUGACCCAUAAGUGACCCACAAGUGACCCAUAACUAACCCCUAAGUGACCCAUAAGUGACCCAUAGCGACCCAUAACUAACUCAGAACUGACCCAUAAGUGACCUAUAGCGCCCCAUAAGUGACCCACAAGUGACCCAUAAGGGACUGAUAAGUGACCCAUAACUAACCCCUAAGUGACCCAUAAGUAAGGGACUCAUAAGUGACCCAUAAGUGACCCAUGACCCCAUACAGACCCAUAAGUGACCCCUAAGUGACCCCUAAGUGACCCACAAGUGACUCAUAAGUGACCCACAACUGACCCAUAAGUGACCCAUAGCGCCCCAUAACUAACCCAGA
rnacentral:lncRNA from 1 species